rnacentral:misc_RNA from 1 species
GAUGAAGAACGUAGCGAAAUGCGAUACUUGGUGUGAAUUGCAGAAUCCCGUGAACCAUCGAGUCUUUGAACGCAAGUUGCGCCCGAAGCCAUCAGGUUUAGGGCACGUCUGCCUGGGCGUCACAUAUCGUUGCCCAAUGCCUAUUGCAGUGCAAUAGGAAUUUCUAGGGCGAAUGAUGGCUUCCCGUGAGCGUUGUUGCCUCGCGGUUGGUUGAAAAUCGCGUCCUUGGUAGGGUGUGCCAUGGUAGAUGGUGGUCGAGUUAGACCGAUACCGAUCAUGUGCAUGCUCCCCAAAAUAUGGCCUCUAUGACCCACACGCGUCUUUUGACGCUCAUGACGAGACCUCAGGUCAGGCGGGGCUACCCGCUGAAUUUAAGCAUAUCAAUAAGCGGAGGA